rnacentral:lncRNA from 1 species
AAAACGCGAAAACCUUUUUUUUUUUUGGAUUUUUGAGUUACAACACACUUUUUCAAAUAUAAAGUAGAAAGUACAAUAAUAAAAAGCUCGACGUUACUGUACAAAACUAAAAAGUAAAAGACGAUAUAAAAUGAAGAACAUACUCAAAACAUAAAAACUUAAAACAAAUCUCCUUAAGCAACUCCUGAAUGAGCGAUCCUGACUGGAUGGUCACGGGGUGUCUGUCAUGCUCAAACCCCAGUAAGUAGAUCCACAACUGUAUGAAAAAAACUCAAACCAACACUAGGUGAGACAAUAACACUCCCUAUUGGACACAUGCAAGACAUAAUUGAGGCUAUUUUUGCAAAAUGGCUUAUUUGGCCAAAAAGGUGGCUAGAAGUGCAAAAUUUGGCUAUGACCCCGCAAAGCCAAGAACCUAAGAUUUACUAGGAAGACCGGACCCUAUGUGGGUUGCCUACGUAUCACGCCCCGAAAGACGAGAAUCAGGUAUGCAUAGUUCGGGCAAAUUGGAUACGGGCAAGAAUUAAAAAAAAAACAACUAAUUUAGAGAAAACAUAUUUUGCUAUGAAAAAUGAUGAAACAUAUAAACUCUUUUUGGAUUUCCUUUUCCUCUUUUUUUUUUUUAUUUUUGAUUUUCGAAAAAUGAUGAAAAGUGCAAAAUCUUUUGAAUUUUUCAUGUUUUUUUCCUUUUCUUUUAAAAAAAAUGUGAAAAAAACAUAACUGGGCCCUACUUGCCUUAUUUUCACACUUCACCCUCUUUUUUUCCAUUUGCCAUCAACUACCAUUGGUCCGCCAAAUGACCCUUUUACCCUUGAAGAAAUACUACAUGUAGCACAUAGGAUGCAUCAAGAUGGUCUGUUAUUUUGGGUAUACAUGUCCUAGACGGACCCAACCCCUGUGUUGAGUCCCCAAAGUCAAAUGCACGUGAUGCAAAUAAGCGUUCCUACUAGGGAUUCGGCAUGAGGCUGAGUUAUUCUAAGUUCAAAACCUCGGUAUGUUGUUCUAGACUUGUGUACCCGAGCGGACAACUCGAGCCGAGAGGGGGUACGUACCGGGAACCAAAAGGCCAUCCGGCUUUGCAACUUGUCCAAACCUCUUCCUAACUUAAGGUAUGACACUAAUAGAAAAGGAGUCACGCCAGCGUGCACAUCCUCAAAGAUGAGAAGAGAAGGGUUUCGUAGUAGUUUAUAUACAAUUCAAAUAGUAUCAAAGCGGUAAAAAAUAACAUUUAGCACAUUAGGCCCAAACAUAUAAUAAAGCCAGAUAAUAAAUAAAAGCCAAAUAUAACAAUUAUUCUAAGCUCGAAUUCUUGAACCCCGAACCAGAGAUUCUGGGUUCUUGUCCCCAGCAGAGUCGCCAGAGCUGUCACACCUCCUUUUUCCUACACCCCCGUAAAGGGGUAUAUAAGGGAGUUUUUUCCAAUUUAAAGUGACAAUCGAAACGGGAUCAUUUUAUUAAAAAUUCAGAGUCGCCACUUGGGAUAAUUUUAUGGUGUCCCAAGUCACCGAUUCAAAUCCCAAAUUGAGGAAAAGAUUGACUCUGUAUUACAGUCCGCGAACACAGAAAUCUAGGUAAGGAAUUCUGUUAACCCGGGAGAAGGUGUUAGGCAUUCCCGAUUUCUGUGAUUCUAGCACGGUCGCUCAACUAUUAUAAUUGGCCUAUUAUCUGAUUUUAGUACAUGUUUUAACCUAUGGUGCAAUUUUGAACUUUUGAGCCGCUUUUAUUGAAUUAUUUUUUUUAUUAGGAAAGAUUCAACGUCAUCUAAAAUACAUCUUGAACCACGUCACAUAAAUGCACCAGCGGUCUACGACAUAUUUCAUCUAACAUUGUUGAGACUUGGAUUUGGGUCACAUAAAUGCACACCCGAAUUUAGAAAGGUAAUUUUUAAAAUAGCGCGCCUAAAGCAACUACACACUUUCAACUUUGCGAGGGCCAUGGAAAAUUCAACUAAAUGGCGCGCCCCGAUUUUUUAAGGAUAAAAAUUAAUUAAGUGAGGGCCAUGGGCUUAGGGAUUUCAUUUGGCGUGGCACGCCUCAAAUUAUUCCAAAAGAUUGUCUUCAACUAAAGCGAAUUACGGAUGUUCAUAUCUAUGUCUUUUUAAAUCUGAGAUCACGUGUUGAAGUUGAGAGCAACGGAGCCAUAUAUGUCAGGUCAACAUUCAUCAACUACCAGCCCAAACUCACACCCAGUUAGACCAACCAUUACACAUUCGAUUUUUCUUGGGAGAAGUUGGUAUCUCUGUACCACUACGUAAAACUAUUUUUCUUUAUUUAAGAAACAACAAGUAUCUUAAAACAUCCUCUAUUUAGUAUUUCAAAUCCUUUUAAACUCAACCCAAUGCAAAUAAAUGGGAGAGAUAUGACUUAAUUUAGUUAUUAAGGAGAUCAACCUACUCAAACUGUUGCUUCAACCCAAUCGAAAUAUCAGCUAAUUAGAAAACUGGCUUUCGAUUCUCAAGUCCGUGUAAGUCUUAUUGGGCUAAAACUUGUGACCCAACACCUAUGAGAACGAAGGUCCAAAUGAUUCACAAACUGAAUUUAUCACAUGAUUUUCAUCCAUCAACACAAAGGAACAAAGAUAAACAAAAAUUAAACCAAAGCUUCGAAUACACGUUAUCCAGAAUCGGAAUUAUGGCAGAAAGAAACGAACUAAAUUGGAAUAAAACAUCUCUUUUAAUUACAACCCUUUUCUAUGCUAAAUUAAACUAGAGAAAGUAUCCAAACCGGUAAAGGGCAUUUUUAACUUCAGUUAUGCAUACAAUUAGCAAGCAACAAUCCAUAAAUUGGUUUCAUGAUGCACAGAGAAUUUGCAUAGCUGAAAUUAAUUAAAUUGUCUCAAAUGAGACCAAACGUAGCAUCAGGAAACAUUACUAAACUCAUAAAUCCAGUAAGGGAAUUUAACAGGGUUCACACACCAAAUUUAUAGGUAGUUUCAAUCAAUUAUUCAUGUAAAAACAAGCAGGAAUACAGAGAUCGCCAUGUGUGUACCUCAUUUGCAAGAAAAAUCAGCUAAACCAAACCAAACCCAGAUCUGAAACUGGUUGAACCAGAAAACUUGAAUAGAAAUGAUUAAAAGUCGAGACCAAAUUGAAUGAAGCUCAACCCAAAAUUUCAGUAGAUAACAACAGUUGAAUCAGUGAUUUCCUUUGUAUUAAUGAUGCAAACUCAGAAUCGGAAUUUUGGCUUGAACAAACUGAACAAUGACCGGAUCUAAAGGUGACCUCGCCGGAACCUCGAAACUCCAUCAACUUGGCUUAAUUUGGACUGUAGCUUCGCUUGUUGAAGAUCAAAAUAAGUAGCAUCAUUGAUUGGCUCUAAUUUGAAGCAAACAAGUAACGAAAUUGGGGAGGAUUUUGUUUUAUUUUUCUAUUUUUUCUCACUUCCCUUGUGUCGUUUUUUAUACUUUUUGAAAUGAUGUCCUUUUCUCCUUCUUUCUGCCUAUGUGUGUGCAUUACAGAAAAGCAUUUUUGAAAGGGUGAGGUCCCGCGUUCCCUUUUUCAUUUAAUUUUCUUCUCUACGAAAAGGAAUAUGCCGUUGCUCUCUUUUUGAGGAAGGGUCUAUGGAUCCCCUUUUUUGGUUUCUA